rnacentral:lncRNA from 1 species
CUCAUUAAACUACCUCAACUAUACCGUCAAUUAAAUAUCCUGAAUACUAAUAUGCAGUUGCUAUUUCAAUAUACAUUCUGCAUAAUACUGUCUAAACAUGCUACUGCUACUUCAAUCAGUAUUCUGCAAUAUGCUUUAAUGAAAUGGCUCAAGAUUGAAGAUGACGAGGCAAUAUUCUUCAGGAAGUAACAUGUACAGUGAGAUUACCACCUCUAGAAGAACUGUUUCUCAUGAUCUCAAAUCUGUGUUUUGAUGUUUUUUGAGUUUGAUCACUAUCUUUUUCUUCAUUGUCUUGUCUUUUUGCUCCUUUACUACUCUUCGAUACUCUCUGUUUUUGUAGUGUAACCUUUGCUCGUUCCUUCUCUCCAGAAAGGUUGUUGCAGGAUUUGGUACUUGAUGUUAGUUUAGAAGAAGCCAAUUUUGAAUGAAAUUAGUUUUACAUCUUAUUAGUUUGGUGUUUGUUGACUGAACCAGAU